GUCUCUCUCAAAGCCGCUGGUCUGGUCUGUAAGGGUCUCUCUCAUCCCUGCUGGUCUGGUCUGUAAGGGUCUUUCUCAUCCCUGCUGGUCUGGAAGGGUCUCUCUCAUCACGUCUGGUCUAGUCUGUAAGGGUCUCUCUCACCGCUGCUGGUCUGGUCUGUAAGGGUCUCUCUCAUCCCUGCUGGUCUGGUCUGGUCUGUAAGGGUCUCUCUCACUGCUGCUGGUCUGGGCUGGUCUGUAAGGGUCUCUCUCAUCCCUGCUGGUCUGGUCUGUAAGGGUCUCUCUCACCGCUGCUGGUCUGGUCUGUAAGGGUCUCUCUCAAAGCUGCUGGUCUGGUCUGGUCUGUAAGGGUCUCUCUCACCGCUGCUGGUCUGGUCUGGUCUGUAAGGGUCUCUCUCACCGCUGCUGGUCUGGUCUGGUCUGUAAGGGUCUCUCUCACCGCUGCUGGUCUGGUCUGGGCUGGUCUGGUCUGCUCUCUAUCAUCCCUGCUGGUCUGGUCUGGUCUGUAAGGCUCUCUAUCAUCCCUGCUGGUCUGGUCUGGUCUGGAAGGGUCUCUCUCAAAGCUGCUGGUCUGGUCUGGUCUAUAAGGGUCUCUCUCAUCGCUGCUGGUCUGGUCUGUAGGGGUCUCUCUCAUCGCUGCUGGUCUGGUCUGUAAGGGUCUCUCUCAUUGCUGCUGGUCUGGUCUGGUCUGUAAGGGUCUCUCUCAUCCCUGCUGGUCUGGUUUGUAAGGCUCUCUAUCAUCCCUGCUGGUCUGGUCUGGUCUGUAAGGCUCUCUAUCAUCCCUGCUGGUCUGGUCUGGUCUGGAAGGGUCUCUCUCAAAGCUGCUGGUCUGGUCUGGUCUAUAAGGGUCUCUCUCAUCGCUGCUGGUCUGGUCUGUAGGGGUCUCUCUCAUCGCUGCUGGUCUGGUCUGGUCUGUAAGGGUCUCUCUCAUUGCUGCUGGUCUGGUCUGGUCUGUAAGGGUCUUUCUCAUCGCUGCUGGUCUGGUCUGGUUUGGUUUUUGGUUGAGUUUUAUUCUUCCUUUAUUUCUUAACCCCAGAGCUCAAACAGACACAUUUAACAGCAUACACAUUUAACAGCAGACACUGAACUCUUAUAACCAC
ensembl:lncRNA